rnacentral:tRNA from 1 species
UGGCUCAGUGGUUAAGAGCACUGACUGCUCUUCCAGAGGUCCUGGGUUCAAGUCCCAG